rnacentral:rRNA from 1 species
AAUGAACGCUGGCGGCAGGCCUAACACAUGCAAGUCGAGCGAGCAUUUCGGUGCUAGCGGCGGACGGGUGAGUAACGCGUGGGAACGUGCCCUUUUCUGCGGAAUAGUCCUGGGAAAAUGGGGGUAAUACCGCAUACGCCCUUUUGGGGAAAGAUUUAUCGGAGAAGGAUCGGCCCGCGUUGGAUUAGGUAGUUGGUGGGGUAAUGGCCCACCAAGCCGACGAUCCAUAGCUGGUUUGAGAGGAUGAUCAGCCACACUGGGACUGAGACACGGCCCAGACUCCUACGGGAGGCAGCAGUGGGGAAUCUUAGACAAUGGGGGCAACCCUGAUCGAGCCAUGCCGCGUGAGCGAUGAAGGCCUUAGGGUUGUAAAGCUCUUUCAGCUGGGAAGAUAAUGACGGUACCAGCAGAAGAAGCCCCGGCUAACUCCGUG